rnacentral:rRNA from 2 species
UAGGGAAUCUUCCACAAUGGACGCAAGUCUGAUGGAGCAACGCCGCGUGAGUGAAGAAGGUUUUCGGAUCGUAAAGCUCUGUUGUUGGUGAAGAAGGAUAGAGGCAGUAACUGGUCUUUAUUUGACGGUAAUCAACCAGAAAGUCACGGCUAACUACGUGCCAGCAGCCGCGGUAAUACGUAGGUGGCAAGCGUUGUCCGGAUUUAUUGGGCGUAAAGCGAGCGCAGGCGGAAUGAUAAGUCUGAUGUGAAAGCCCACGGCUCAACCGUGGAACUGCAUCGGAAACUGUCAUUCUUGAGUGCAGAAGAGGAGAGUGGAAUUCCAUGUGUAGCGGUGGAAUGCGUAGAUAUAUGGGAGAACACCAGUGGCGAAGGCGGCUCUCUGGUCUGCAACUGACGCUGAGGCUCGAAAGCAUGGGUAGCGAACAGG